GACGGGACCCGCACAAGCGGUGGAUGAUGUGGUUUAAUUCGAUGCAACGCGAAAACCUUACCCACCUUUGACAUGUACGGAAUCCUUUAGAGAUAGAGGAGUGCUCGAAAGAGAGCCGUAACACAGGUGCUGCAUGGCUGUCGUCAGCUCGUGUCGUGAGAUGUUGGGUUAAGUCCCGCAACGAGCGCAACCCUUGUCAUUAGUUGCUACAUUCAGUUGGGCACUCUAAUGAGACUGCCGGUGACAAACCGGAGGAAGGUGGGGAUGACGUCAAGUCCUCAUGGCCCUUAUAGGUGGGGCUACACACGUCAUACAAUGGAUGGUACAAAGGGUCGCCAACCCGCGAGGGGGAGCCAAUCCCAUAAAGCCAUUCGUAGUCCGGAUCGCAGUCUGCAACUCGACUGCGUGAAGUCGGAAUCGCUAGUAAUCGCGAAUCAGCAUGUCGCGGUGAAUACGUUCCCGGGCCUU
rnacentral:rRNA from 1 species